CACCUCUCCAAAAACAAGUCUCUCACCGUUGCCGCCUGCUAUAGACCCCCCUCGGCCCCUAGCUGUGCUCUGGACACCAUAUGUGAACUGAUUGCCCCCCAUCUAUCUUCAGAGCUCGUGCUACUAGGCGACCUAAACUGGGACAUGCUUAACACCCCAGCCAUUCUACAAUCCAAGCUUGAUGCCCUCAAUCUCACACAAAUUAUUAAUGAACCCACCAGGUACAACCCCAAAGCCGCAAACACUGGCACCCUCAUAGAUAUCAUCCUAACCAAUGUGCCCUCUAAUUACACCUCUGCUGUUUUCAACCAAGAUCUCAGCGAUCACUGCCUCAUUGCCUGCACCCGUAAUGGGUCAGCGGUCAAACGACCUCCACUCAUCACUGUCAAGCGCUCCCUGAAACAUUUCAACGAGCAAGCCUUUCUAAUCGACCUGGCCCUGGUAUCCUGGAAGGAUAUUGACCUCAUCCCGUCAGUAGAGGAUGCCUGGUUAUUUUUUUUAAAUGCCUUCCUCUCCAUCUUAAAUAAGCAUGCCCCUUUCAAGAAAUUUAGAACCAGGAACAGAUAUAGCCCUUGGUUCUCCCCAGACCUGACUGCCCUUAACCAACACAAAAAUAUCCUGUGGCGUUCUGCAUUAGCAUCAAACUGCCCCCGCGAUAUGCAACUUUUUAGGGAAGUUAGAAACCAAUACACACAGGCAGUUAGAAACGCCAAGGCUAGCUUUUUCAAACAAAAAUUUGCUUCGUGCAACUCCAACUCUAAAAAGUUCUGGGACAUUGUAAAGUCCAUGGAGAAUAAGAACACCUCCUCCCAACUGCCCACUGCACUGAGGAUAGGAAACUCUGUCACCACCGAUAAGCCCACUAUAAUUGAGAAUUUCAAUAAGCAUUUUUCUACGGCUGGCCAUGCUUUCCACCUAACUACCCCUACUGCAUUCAACAGCACUGCACCCCCCACAGCUACUCGCCCAAGUCUCCCCCAUUUUCCUUCUCCCAAAUCCAUUCAGCUGAUGUUCUGAAAGAGCUGCAAAAUCUGGACCCCUACAAAUCAGCUGGGCUUGACAAUCUGGACCCUUUCUUUCUAAAAUUAUCUGCCGAAAUUAUUGCAACCCCUAUUACUAGCCUGUUCAACCUCUCUUUCGUGUCGUCUGAGAUUCCCAUAGAUUGGAAAGCAGCUGCUGUCAUCCCUC
rnacentral:lncRNA from 1 species